GCCCAGUUGGCUCAAUUGGUAAAGCAUCUGACUCUUGAUCCCAAGGUCUUGAGUUUAAAUCCCACAUUGAGUG
rnacentral:tRNA from 1 species